CUGACAGCCCUGGGAGACUGGAAGCCCUCUGUUUACCCACAGAACAGAUACAGCAUGACUAGCGAAAAUGCAGCCUUCCACAAACCACCCUGCCAAUGUAUCUGAGCCACAAUCUAGGUGGCCAGGGAAACCUUCAGGAGACUACAGCUUAUUUUAGUUUCUGAGGCUAUGCAGUCCUUCAUCUCU
ensembl:misc_RNA